AUUGGAUAUGGGUCUCGGUCGGGUGGUGCCGCCUCACGGUGGUCACUGCCUCGAUCGGACAAUUCAUUGGAUCGUUCGGGGUGCUCUUAACCGAGUGUCCUGGGUGGCCGAUACGUUUACUUUGAACAAAUUAAGUGCUUAAAGCAGGUGCACCGCGCCUGAAUAUCACAGCAUGGAAUGAUGGAAUAGGACCUCGGUCUUAUUAUGUUGGUUUUCUGGACUUGAGGUAAUGGUUAACAGAGACAGACGGGGGCAUUCGUACUGCGACGCUAGAGGUGAAAUUCUUGGACCGUCGCAAGACGAACAAGUGCGAAAGCAUUUGCCACGAAUGUCUUCAUUACUCACGAACGAAAGUUAGAGGUUCGAAAGGCGAUCAGAUACCGGCCCUAGUUCUAAACCAUUAAACGAUGCCAACCA
rnacentral:rRNA from 1 species